CCUACGGGAGGCAGCAGUGGGGAAUAUUGCACAAUGGGGGAAACCCUGAUGCAGCGACGCCGCGUGAGCGAUGAAGUAUUUCGGUAUGUAAAGCUCUAUCAGCAGGGAAGAAGAUGACGGUACCUGACUAAGAAGCCCCGGCUAACUACGUGCCAGCAGCCGCGGUAAUACGUAGGGGGCAAGCGUUAUCCGGAUUUACUGGGUGUAAAGGGAGCGUAGACGGCGAUGCAAGCCAGAUGUGAAAGCCCGGGGCUCAACCCCGGGACCGCAUUGGGAACGGUGUGGGGUGAGUGUCGGAGAGGGGGGGAGAAUGCAAAGGGGAGAGGGGAAAGGAGUAGAGAAGAGGAGGAACACAGGGG
rnacentral:rRNA from 1 species